AAGACUCUAAAAAUAGAUUUCGGUUAUUUAUUUCCUGAUCUUCAUUUAAUUCGUUUUUUUAAACGGGACAGUUAAAUAAAUAUUCAGAAAAUCUGGCGAACUUUAUUCGUAAGCCAUUUUGUCAUUAAUAGAAUUAGGCAUACGAAUGAAAAUACUAUCAGCGAAAAUACCAUGUCCUCUUUUUUUCAUUUCUCUUCACUCUAAGGUUAUCUGGAAUAUUCUUAAUUUUUUUUUGCACGUACACAGAAGCUGCUCUGUCAAUACUGAAGUCGAGGAGUGAGACGUCAAAAAGUAUUGAUAUAAUUAUCGGCAGUUGGCUGUCGAAUUGUCUUCUCAGAAGUAAGAGGAAAGAGAAAGUCAAUAAUUUUACUAAGACUAUGUUAAUAAAUAAACUUUUCUGUGUCUAUGCUUUUUAUAAAUUUUAAUUUCACUGUUUUUUAGGAUUUCACCAGUGCAAAGUAUUCAACUAUGAACUAAAGCGAAGAGUUGCGGGAGAACGGAAUGAUUGUCAUAUUUUGAUGAAAAAGUUGGUGAAAAAUGCAAGAAACGGCAUCGAGUUUCCAGAAAAAGGGGACUAAGGUUUAUUUACAUUAAACGUCUUUCCGAACUACAGACUUGGUGGUUUAACUUUUUCUUCUGUUCUUAUUUUUACUUAUUUUCAUAUAUAAUAUUGUUUUAAUCACGACAAUUUUUGUAAUAUACGCUGUAUUUGAUGUGCUAACAAAAUGGGUUACUGUUUAAUAUCAUUUUUAAAUAAAGAAACAGAUAAAGCUA